CUUGGGUUACAAGCAAGAGCCGGAAAAAGACGGCGCAAAGGGGAAAGGACUUUUUAGCAAGAAAGCUAAUCGAGAGGCAAAAGCUGUUUAUUGACAAGCCCGUUUUACCCCGGCAGCGACCAAGCCAACCAACACCACUCAAUAGUAAACGUGUGCACAACUAGCAAUGGCGCACAACACGACUCGCCUUGCAACAACCGGGAGGCUGAGCUACCUUCGUUUUUUGUUUUGCUUUUUUUUUUUUUGCAAAGCCCAACCACGCAAUUAGCCGGAGGAAACAAAGUUGCUGCAAAGACCCACCUGAAGGGGCCUCCAAUCCAAACUGAUGGAUCUCCGCAUCUCAUUGGUUCUCCGAGGCUUUCACAGGAUCAAAUUUCUGCCUGUCAAUCUGCCUGCCUCUGACCCCCUCGGGGAAAAAGGGAAAAGCUGGAUCCUCCCGGAUUCUGCAGGGGAUUCGACGGGUCGUUGCUCCCUCAACUGACCGUGCAAAAACAGCUGCUCGAUAUAACUCGCCCGUACGCGCAUUAAAAGACUUUGAAUCUCA